rnacentral:lncRNA from 1 species
UAGAAACUGACAGUUAUCACAAAAAAGUUCUUUGUAGUAGUAGCGAGAAAUUUCUUCAGAUAGGUGCAAAGUAAGAUUCUGACAGGUAAAAAAUUAUCAAAGACCAUGCCGUCUAACGUCAGAAAGAAGAAACGUUUAAAAAAAGUAACAUGAAAACAAUGUCCGCUCUAGCUCAGACACUAAAUUGAAAGAACUAACAAACAAAGGUAACAAAUAAUUUUCAUACUCACGUAAUAUUCACCCUGUCAAAUUUCACCAAAAAGCCACCACGCAGCAUGACACAUCACAACAGACGAAAUCCUCAAGGUGAUAAUAGACGCCAGUUCAACUUCUACACUGAGGAAAAGGCACUCAAGGCGGUGAUAUCCGUUCAUGUACCUUGUCUGCAAGUGAUUCCCGACGUUUCAGCACCUAGGCAACAGUGCUUGGACAGUGGAUUGCUGAAAGGAUAAACACCUAGUUGGUUACAUACUACAAGGCAACAGCAAAUGUAAGAUCAAUCACAACGGAUGGUGAAACACUACCCUGUCUCACAACAACAGCAUGUUCCAGGCUCAUGUGAUCCUCACACAAUAGGGACUGGGCAUCUGAUUGUUUUAAUAAUCACCUGUAUCACCCUUUUAGCUUUAUUCCUGUCAUUCUGCACUUUACCUAACCUGUGAUAAAUCUUUCUUUUUGAAUGAA